GAGCAAGUACUUCAAUCAGAUAUUAACUGCUGUGCUUGAAGUGUUAGAUGAUUCUGAGUCAUGGACAAGGGAACUUGCCCUAUCUCUGAUUCUUGAAAUGCUGAAGAAUCAGAAAAAUGCAAUGGAGGACUCAGUUGAGAUCAUAAUUGAAAAGCUGCUCCAUGUGACCAAGGAUGAUGUUGCAAAAGUUGCAAAUGAAGCUGAGAAUUGUUUAUCUACAAUUUUGUCCCAGUACGACCCAUUCAGAUGCCUAAGUGUUAUUGUUCCUUUGCUUGUCACUGAAGAUGAGAAGACUCUUGUAACUUGUAUAAACUGUUUGACGAAGCUUGUUGGAAGGCUCUCUCAGGAGGAAUUGAUGUCUCAGCUUCCUUCAUUCUUGCCUUCCCUGUUUGAUGCUUUUGGAAACCAGAGCGCUGAUGUCCGCAAGACUGUUGUAUUCUGUUUGGUUGACAUAUACAUCAUGCUGGGC
rnacentral:misc_RNA from 1 species